AGCGAACGCUGGCGGCAGGCCUAACACAUGCAAGUCGAGCGCCGUAGCAAUACGGAGCGGCAGACGGGAGAGUAACACGUGGGAACGUGCCCUUUGGUUCGGAACAACCCAGGGAAACUUGGGCUAAUACCGGAUAAGACCUUACGGGGGAAGAUUUAUCGCCGAAGGAUCGGCCCGCGUCUGAUUAGCUAGUUGGUGGGGUAAUGGCCCACCAAGGGGACGAUCAGUAGCUGGUCUGAGAAGAUGAUCAGCCUCACUGGGACUGAGACACGGCCCACACUCCUACUGGAGGCAGCAGUGGUGAAUAUUGGACAAUGGGCGCAAGCCUGAUCCAGCCAUGCCGCGUGGGUGAUGAAGGCCCUAGGGUUGUAAAGCCCUUUCGGCGGGGAAGAUAAUGACGGUACCCGCAGAAGAAGCCCCGGCUAACUUCGUGCCAGCCGCCGCCGUAA
rnacentral:rRNA from 1 species